AAACCAACCACAAAAGCCCUGUGGGAGCCAGCAUUUCCUCCUUAAAUCAGUUUGAAAGCUAAAAGAUCUCUCCAGAUGUGGAAUGCUGAAUAACGUCCCCCAGAGAUACCAGCCCUCAAUCCCUGGUACGUGGAUGUUACCUUACACUGAGAAGGCUUCUGCAGAGGUGAUUGAGGUCAGGAUUUGCAGGUGAGAUUAUGCUGGAUUACCCAGGUGGGCCCUGAAUGCACUCACAGGAGUUCUCGUAAGUGAGAGGCAGAGGGAGGAUGACAUGCACAGAAGAGGAGAACCUGGUGCAUCCGCCAUGGGAAAGAUGGGAGUGGUGUGGCCUCAGGAGUCCCAGCAGCCACCAGACGCCAGAAAAGGCAAGAAAGGGAUUCUCCCCUAGAGCUUCUGGAGGGAGCGUGGACCUGCCGACACUUUGAUGUCAACCCGGUGACCCCGAUCUUGCACUUCCAUCUGCCAGAUGUGUGAGAGAAGAGAUUUCUGUUUUAAAACAUUACUUUUGUGGUAAUUUUUAAACAGCAGCAUAUGAAACCACACUCCCUUGCAGCUUAAAUCCUAUGUGUGACUCAGUUUCCAUCAAACAGAUGAACCCGACGUUAAGUGACAGUGUCAAUGGAGCAAUCAGAUCUGAAAAACACGACAGAAGUGCUGCCGACUCUGCAGCAUACCUGCAUCUGGCUGAGUUGUUUUUCUGGAGCGAGAUGUGUACCUGGAUAGCACAGCCCACCCCUUGACCACACACGAAAUGUACUGAAUAAUAAUGUGAUCUGAGUUUGGAUGUGGUUUGUACCUGCUUGUAAUCACUGUGUACUGAUGACAGCAAAAUUUAUGAUUGACCAGGUUCUCACCUGGUCUUGGUGAGGGCCUGGAAGGGCUGGUGCACAGCAGGAAUGUGCACACAUUAGCAGCAGGGUGUGAGACCCAGCCUAUACUCCAUCUGGGGCCCCCGGUUUCUGAGGCAUUCUGUGCACACAUUGCUGGCUCCCAGCAUGAGAGUGUGACCUGGCACAACCCUACAGAGAGGGAAGCUGGAGCCUGUGCCCAGCCUCUCCCAGCCACUUGCUGUGAGGCAGCCUUUGGCUAAGGUUCGCAUCCUUAACUGAUGCAUAUCUUUCCUUUAAUGCUAUUGUUAUUUGCUUUCCCUGCAAUAAACUAUAGAUUACUAAGCAUCGUCAUUUUGGUUCCUGUGCCCUGGUUUAUACAAAUAAAUUUUAUUUUUUAACGUUGACCUCUAGUUAGCAAACUUUUAUAUUCAUUUAGCCACUCUGUAAUUCAUCUGUAGAUUCUUCUGCGUUUC
rnacentral:lncRNA from 1 species